rnacentral:lncRNA from 1 species
UGUAGAAAGACUCAAAAGCAGCGUUUUCUUUGUCUCAGGAGACAGGUUGGUGCUGCCGCCCUCUGAGGAAGCUUAUAACACAGGAUGGGAACGUCAGAUUCUGUGAAAAAAAAAUCUACAAGUAUGAAAAGGAAUUCACAGUACAGGAACGCCAGGAUGCUCCCGGGAAGGAGGAAAGAUGUCCAAGGAGCCAGAGUGGGAAAAGGCAGUCACUACAGCAUGCCACUGACCUACUGUAUUCCAGAAUAAUGAGAAUCACAGUUAAGAAGACUAUCAGGACCAACUUUAAUUAAAAGAGGACAACAAAUCCCCAGAUCAGACAAAUUCCCACUUUGACUGUAAAACCUGAAGAAGAGACAGUUUUAAGAAACCCUUUUGGAAUCCUGGAACGAAAGGCCCGGAA